AUUAAAUCAAAUCACAUUUUUAUUUGUCACAUGCUUCGUAAACAACAGGUGAAACUAAGAGUGAAAUGCUUACUUACGGGUCCAUUUUCUAACAAUGCAGUUAAAGUUGUAAUAGAAAAUAUAAUAUUGACACAAGGAAUAAAUACACAGUUAAUAACAAAUAACAAUGACGAGUAAAAAAAACAUGGCUAUAUUAAUAUAGGAAGUACCAGGUAAUAACAUGGCUAUAUUAAUAUAGGAAGUACCAGGUAAUAACAUGGCUACAUACAGGGAGUACCAGGUAAUAACAUGGCUACAUACAGGGAGUACCAGGUAAUAACAUGGCUACAUACAGGGAGUACCAGGUAAUAACAUGGCUACAUACAGGGAGUACCAGGUAAUAACAUGGCUAUAUACAGGGAGUACCAGUACCGAGUCAAUGUGCAGGGGUAUGAAGUAAUUGAGAUUGCUAGUGUGAAAGUGUGUGUGAGUUAGUUAGUGAGUGAGUGUGUGUGUGUGUGUGUGUGUGUGUGUGUGUGUGUGUGUGUGUGUGUGUGUGUGUGUGUGUGUGUGUGUGUGUGUGUGUGUGUGUGUGUGUGUGUGUGUGUGUGUGUGUGUGUGUGUGGCGUCAGUAUGCAUGUUGUGUGCAUGUUAUGUGUGUGUGGGCAUAUGUGGUGUGUGUGUUGUGGUGUCAGUGUAAGUCUCUGUGAGUGUGUGGGUAGAGUCCAGUGUGUGUGUGCAUAAAGUCGGUGCAUGAGAGUUGGUGCAAAAAGGGUCAAUGCAGGUAGUCUGGGUAGCCAUUUGAUUAGCUAUUUAGCCGUCUUGUUUAGAAGUCUUAUGGCUUGGAGGUAGAAGCUGUUCAGGGUCCUAUUGGUUCCAGACUUAGUGCACUGGUACCACUUGCCAUGUGAUAACAGAAAGAACAGUCUAUGGCUUGGGUGGCUGGAGCCUUUGACCCUUUUUUGGGCCUUCCUUUGACACUGCCUGGUAUAGGGGUCCUGGAUGGCAGUCAGCUCGGACCGAGUGAUGUAUUAGGCCGUACUCAUAACCCUCUGUAGAGGGUUAUUACGGUCGGGUGCAUUAUAGUUGCCGUACCAAGCGGUGAUGCAGCCAGUCAAGAUGCUCUCAAUGGUGCAGC
ensembl:lncRNA